UCUGGCCCAAAGACAGCUGGAAUAUGCUCAAGCAUACCCACAACCCUAGUAAGGACAGGCGGGCUAAAAAGUAAAUAGAUGGAUGAUGUUUCUACUGUUUAUUUAAUUUUUAAGGAGUAAUUCCACAUACAAAUGUGUGUCUCUGUGGUCCACACUAAUCCUGAUCCAUUAGUCUGUGAUCUCCUUUGCCCACAUUCGAGAGGAGCUAGCAGUUAGCUUUCUUCGUUGCACUGGAGUUCACAAUAGGGAAACACAUAAAAUGUCGGUCUCGGUGGAAUAAAUGACGAAAAAGAAAUAUUUGCGGAAUUCCAGAAAUAUCCUCAACAAAAGUUUUAAAACUGCAGGAGAAGAGACGAAGAAACACAGGAAGUUACGUCAGUGAGAUCAUGCCACGUUUGGAUGCUCCAUUCACAAACUCCUUUUCCAAGCUCUCAUCUCCCUCUUUCUUCCCAACACGGAAUGGUAUAUUCAUGCGGCUGCGACAGGUCUCCUCUACUGGACACCUAGUGCUUUCGCUGACCACGUCCCAGUCACGAUGUAGUCGGCACACUUGUCCUCCUUCAGGCCAAUCAGAUUGAGAGGGAUGCCGCUGAACUGUCCGGACGCACCACCCUGCAGGAACAUCACCUUGUACUUGUCUGGUAUGUUUCUAUGUUGACAAAAAGAGGUAACUGUCAGAAAUUCUAUGGAGCUCAUUGAAUUGCUGUCCAAUGAAUAGUACCCCCCCCCCCCCGAGAUGUAGAGGAUGCUUUUCAUUACACAGACGUGUAGCGUGCAGAAGGUUACGCAUCCUAUGGAAGUUUUAUGGCAUGCACACCCACACAGUUCAGUUCCAAAUGUUCAUUCAUUCAUUCAUUCACUACCGCUUUUCCUCACGAGGGUAGCGGGGGGUGCUGGAGCCUAACCCAGCUGUCUUUGGGCGAGAGGCGGGGUACACCCUGGACUGGUCGCCAGCCAAUCACAGGGCACAUAUAGACAAACAACCAUUCACACUCACAUUCAUACCUAUGGACAAUUUGGAGUCACCAAUUAACCUAGCAUGUUUUUGGAAUGUGGGAGGAAACGGGAGUACCCGGAGAAAACCCCCGCAUACACGGGGAGAACAAAUGUGAAAAUUGUAAAUACUUCAUGGUGUUAUAUUUGUAUAGAAAUUAUUUAUUAUUAUUGAUAUUUGACCUGAAAGCAUAAAAUGCGUGUAAAAGUGAAAAUAUACUUGACAUGCUUUUUUUUUUUUUUAGUCGGAAACUGAUAUUUUCUUGAAACUUACCUAUGUUCUACUGCUGAUUACUAAGGAAUCGAAAAAGUUACAAACAAGCUUUUUUUCUGAUGAAUGAAGGAAGUCUAAUAUUUAUUUUGGUAAGUUUAUAAAGCCAUAGAACCCAAUAUUGUGUGUGCUGUGAAAAAUCAGUCAAGAUCGUCUACAAUGGCCUGUACUGAAUGGGUUGUGUUUUGAAAAAUGGCUGGGAUUGAAUGAGUUAAAAUCCUAAAUUGAAAUUUCUGCUAUGCUACCAAAUUGUUUUCACAGAAAAAAAAGUGAUCGCAAACAACAACAACAAAAAUCACUUACAACAGCUCUCGUAGGAGACACUCUGAUUUGUUGAUGAUUUUGCCAAAUUCUGGUGAUCGGUGGCUCAUUUCUGGUGGAAACAAAAACAUAUAGUCAAACCUCAGUUUUUGUACAAUAUCGCACGUAACCAUCAAGUCUGUUUGCACUAUAUUGUUCCGCUGAAUCGAGUGUGUCCGUGCAUUUUUUUUAUUGAGUAAGACAGCUAAAUAACCCGCAAUGUGAACAAAAAAGUUGCAAAUGCCAGCACUUCGAUAACGGCGAUAAAAAAUAUUGAAUUCCAUCUCGCCAGAAUGCAUGGGAAGUCCACAACAACAAAACAUAACCUUACCAUUUAUAAAUUAUUUUGCAUUGUUUUCUGCAUGUAAAACUACAAUUUAAUUUUCUGUUAAUUUGACUGACAUUAUUUACUAAAUGUGGGAAACCUCAGUUUUUGUACAGCUGUAGGUUUCGUUUUUCAUCUGACCUCUUGGAAUGAAAUAAUAACAAAAACCGAUGUACCACUGUAAAACUACGUGAACUCAUCAAUGUCCCAUCUAUUUAGUGAUUCGUUAUUGCCCCAAAACUGGUUGGUAAAAUGUACAUAAACAUUAUUCUGUGUUGGCUCUUACCAAGCACACUGACCCCAAGGCCACUGUAGCUGAGCAACUCCUUCUGGGCUUGAAACAGCACCUGCAAAAUGUCAACAUUUAAAAGAAAAAAAGCAAACAUACAAACAUACAUAAUGACUGUUAAAAUGUUGCCAAAGCAUGUCACAACUACUGCACGUUGAUCAACCUGGAAAAUAUUAACAGUACUGUAUUUUGCGUAUACAGUAUAAUGAUGGCUGAAUAGCAAUACUGUGUGUAUGCAAAUUCAUUGUAUCCAUUUGACAGGACCACUGAAUGUUUCCACGUGAAUAAACGAGCCAGGCUGAUGCAACUGAGCUCCAUGGUUUCAGCUUGUUGCUGAGCGAUGCUGUAGUGCUCCUCGCCCCCCAUUGUCAGACAGUCACGUGAAGAAAGGAAACAUUUAUGUACAAGAAGGACGACAGUGUUUGAUUUUGCACAAUGCAAACCAAAACGCAUAAAAUAGGCCAAAAAAACAAAAGUUGAAGGCUUCACAUUUUGGAAGAAAAGCCCACAUCUGCAGAAGAUUUCCCUCGUCUCGCUGUUUAAUGUUAUCACGAUAGUUGACUCCGUAGAUAACUUACCGGCGGAGGGAGUUUAGCAGGCCCAGCCCCGAAGUUGAUGGUUUGAUUGUUGUUUUUCUGCUCCAUGUUGCCUAAAAGCGUAGAAAAUAUGAGCGUGAAUAUGGUCUGCGACGUGGAUGGUCCCGAGGGAGCUGCUGUUGCUGCUGGGCUCUGCCGAGGACGUCGCUUGAAUUUUACUGGGUAGCAUGAGACGUUCAAGUGAGCUCGGAUAAACGGUUAAUAAGGCGGUUGCAAUGUAACUACACUACUGCAUGGUACUUGGGUAGAAUUGGGUAGCAUUGUCCAAUACAAACGAAUAUUUCGGUUAAAUCCGGAAUGUCGCUUAAAUUGACAGUGUGAAUUAAAUACUGUAACUGUUACAAGGACUGUGAG